rnacentral:lncRNA from 1 species
UCCAUGUAGAGAAAGUAGGAAGAUUGACUUCGUGCACCACGUGCAAAAGUAUAUGCUUUUGUGUUCUUAAUCUUGGGUACAUGCUUGAGCUGAAAGGUAAGAAAACUAUCUUCUUUUUUGUCAUCUGUUGAAUUGAACCAUUGUUACAACACAAAGCUGGCAAGGAAUGCAAUCCUUUCAGAGCCAAAAGUCGGGAGUUAAUAACCGUACAUCCCGAGUACAAAGCUCCAUAAUGGAGAAGCAUACUAACACGUUCAAAAUAUAAAACCAAACCACCUACUGAAAUAAAAGAGACCACUUGCAGUACUUACGUAAGCGAAGAAGCUGAUAUUAAACUCUAUAGCGACGAUAAUCAAACGACCAUUACGAAGAACCUAGAGAUGCUCGAGCUGACCACAAGAACCACAGACUUGAGAAGACCAUAAACCAGCAAAGGUCACAACCACAAACCCAAAGGGUACACGCUCGGCAGAACAAUCGCAAGACCAAAGCGAAAACAUAGCCAAUAACUACGAACCACACAACUGUCACCAGGAACCAGAGACACGAGAGAGAAAGGCACAAGAUCGAAUCUUGAAACUCCAAGAGGGGAAGACGCCAAAAAGAACCAACAGCUCUUACACGCGGAUACUCGUGUACCCAAGCUCAACCACCUACAAGCAAGAGAAUGGUCACCUCCUCGUAAGAAAACUAUCUUUAAGCCUUUGUAUUUCUUCUAGGUAUAUUACAAAAACAGAUAAUUCUUCUCAUUACAAAAUCAUCUUUAUUAAUUGAAAACAAUAUGUUACAAAUGUGACAUUAAAUUGUCGAAUGAGAUCGUUUCAAAACCUAAAAACCAAUAUCUAAAAAAUUGAUAUGG